ensembl:miRNA mir301b microRNA 301b
AUGCUGUGGCCAUUUGCUAUGACAAUGUUGCACUACUGUACUACUCACUCAAGCAGUGCAAUAGUAUUGUCAUAGCAUGCGGUCUCCGC